AGGAUCCUCAACGCGACGACGGGUAGCCGGCCUGAGAGGGUGACCGGCCACACUGGGACUGAGACACGGCCCAGACUCCUACGGGAGGCAGCAGUGGGGAAUAUUGCACAAUGGGCGCAAGCCUGAUGCAGCGACGCCGCGUGAGGGAUGACGGCCUUCGGGUUGUAAACCUCUUUCAGUAGGGAAGAAGCGAAAGUGACGGUACCUGCAGAAGAAGCGCCGGCUAACUACGUGCCAGCAGCCGCGGUAAUACGUAGGGCGCAAGCGUUAUCCGGAUUUAUUGGGCGUAAAGAGCUCGUAGGCGGUUUGUCGCGCCUGCCGUGAAAGUCCGAGGCUCAACCUCGGAUCUGCGGUGGGUACGGGCAGACUAGAGUGAUGUAGGGGAGACUGGAAUUCCUGGUGUAGCGGUGAAAUGCGCAGAUAUCAGGAGGAACACUGAUGGCGAAGGCAGGUCUCCGGGCAUUUACUGACGCUUGGGAGCGAAAGCAUGGGGAGCGAACAGGAUUAGAUACCCUGGUAGUCCAUGCCGUAAACGUUGGCGGCUACGUGUGGGGGACGGUUAACCGUCUCCCCCUUGGUGAGCAAUUAUCAUACCGACCAAGCUGGGGGGGCCCCGACCU
rnacentral:rRNA from 1 species